rnacentral:rRNA from 1 species
GACGAACGCUGGCGGCGUGCUUAACACAUGCAAGUCGAACGGAAAGGCCCUGCUUUUGUGGGGUGCUCGAGUGGCGAACGGGUGAGUAACACGUGAGUAACCUGCCCUUGACUUUGUGAUAACUUCAGGAAACUGGGGCUAAUACCGGAUAGGAGCUCCUGCUGCAUGGUGGUGGUUGGAAAGUUUCGGCGGUUGGGGAUGGACUCGCGGCUUAUCAGCUUGUUUGUGGGGUAGUGGCUUACCAAGGCUUUGACGGGUAGCCGGCCUGAGAGGGUGACCGGCCACAUUGGGACUGCGAUACGGACCAGACUCCUACGGGAGGCAGCAGUGGGGAAUAUUGCACAAUGGGCGGAAGCCUGAUGCAGCAACGCCGCGUGCGGGAUGACGGCCUUCGGGUUGUAAACCGCUUUCGCAUGUGACGAAGCGUGAGUGACGGUAAUGGGUAAAGAAGCACCGGCUAACUACGUG